AGAGUUUGAUCAUGGCUCAGGACGAACGCUGGCGGCGUGCCUAACACAUGCAAGUCGAACGGAGAUAUUAAUGAAGCUCGCGAUUUAAUAUCUUAGUGGCGGACGGGUGAGUAACGCGUGGGUAAUCUACCUAUCAGUGGGGGACAACAGUUGGAAACGACUGCUAAUACCGCAUACCUUGAGCAAUCAAGAAAGAUGGCCUCUGCAAAUGCUGUCGCUGAUAGAUGAGCCCGCGUCUGAUUAGCUAGUUGGUGGGGUAACGGCCUACCAAGGCAACGAUCAGUAGCCGGCCUGAGAGGGUGAACGGCCACACUGGGACUGAGACACGGCCCAGACUCCUACGGGAGGCAGCAGUGGGGAGUAUUGCGCAAUGGGGGAAACCCUGACGCAGCGACGCCGCGUGAGCGAUGAAGGCCUUAGGGUUGUAAAGCUCUGUUUUAAGGGACGAAUGUCGGUGGGAGUAAUAUGCCCGCCGAAUGACGGUACCUUAAGAGGAAGCCCCGGCUAACUACGUGCCAGCAGCCGCGGUAAUACGUAGGGGGCGAGCGUUGUCCGGAUUUACUGGGCGUAAAGGGUGAGUAGGCGGGAACUUAAGUCAGGUGUGAAAGACCGGGGCUCAACUCCGGGGUGGCACUUGAAACUGGGUUUCUUGAGGGCAGGAGAGGAAAGCAGAAUUCCUGGUGUAGCGGUGAAAUGCGUAGAAAUCAGGAGGAAUACCAGUGGCGAAGGCGGCUUUCUGGACUGACCCUGACGCUGAGGUGCGAAAGCGUGGGUAGCAAACAGGAUUAGAUACCCUGGUAGUCCACGCCGUAAACGAUGGAUACUAGGUGUGGGAGGUAUCGACCCCUUCCGUGCCGCAGCUAACGCAAUAAGUAUCCCGCCUGGGGAGUACGGUCGCAAGGCUGAAACUCAAAUGAAUUGACGG
rnacentral:rRNA from 1 species